rnacentral:rRNA from 1 species
AAUGGCCUAACGGCUGAACUGGCAACUUGGAGAAGUGAUAAGUCUUAUAAAUUAAUAUUUUAUAUUAAGUUAUAGGAUUGAAUUGUAAAAAUGAAACUUUGUUUAUAUAUUGAUAAUGACAGUAUAUAUAUAAUGUCUUGACUAAUUGCGUGCCAGCAGUCGCGGUAAUACGUAAGAGACUAGUGUUAUUCAUCUUAAUUAGGUUUAAAGGGUACCCAAACGGUCAAAAUAGCUUCUAGAAUGUUAGUAAUUGACUAGAGUUUUAUAUAAGAGAGCAGUACUUGAGGAGGAAAGUUGAAAUUUAUUGAUACCAAAGGGACUCUGUAAAGGCGAAGGCAGCUCUCUAUGUAAUAACUGACGUUGAAGGACGAAGGCACAGAGAACAAACAGGAUUAGAUACCUUAGUAGUCUUUGCAGUAAAUGAUGAAUGCCAUAGGUCAGAAUAAGUAUAAAAUACGAUUUGGUCUAUAAAUGAAAGUGUAAGCAUUUCACCUCAAGAGUAAUGUGGCAACGCAGGAACUGAAAUCACUAGACCGUUUCUGACAUCAGUAGUGAAGUAUGUUGUUUAAUUCGAUGAUCCACGAAAAACCUUACCACAAUUUGAAUAAUUUUAUUACAGGAGUUGCACGGCUGUUUCCAGUUGGUGUUGUGAAACUAUGGUUUACAUAGGAACUAACGUUGUCCUUGGCUUUA